rnacentral:rRNA from 1 species
UAUGCCUUGUCUCAGUCGUAACAAGGUUUCACUGUAGUCAUAUGCUUGUCUCAAGUCGUAACAAGGUUUCACUGUAUUAAUAUGGUUGUUCUAGAGCUAAUACAUGCUGAAAAUCCCGACUUCGGAAGGGAUGUAUUUAUUAGAUUAAAAACCAAUGCCCCUCGGGGCUCUCUGGUGAAUCAUGAUAACUAGUCGAAUCGACAGGCCUUGUGCCGGCGAUGGCUCAUUCAAAUUUCUUCCCUAUCAACUUUCGAUGUUUGGGUAUUGGCCAAACAUGGUGGCAACGGGUAACGGAGGGUUAGGGCUCGACCCCGGAGAAGGAGCCUGAGAAACGGCUACUACAUCCAAGGAAGGCAGCAGGCGCGCAAAUUACCCAAUCCCGACACGGGGAGGUAGUGACAAUAAAUACUGAUACAGGGCUCUUUUGGGUCUUGUAAUCGGAAUGAGUACAAUUUAAAUCCCUUAACGAGGAACAAUUGGAGGGCAAGUCUGGUGCCAGCAGCCGCGGUAAUUCCAGCUCCAAUAGCGUAUAUUAAAGUUGUUGUGGUUAAAAAGCUCGUAGUUGAACCUUGGGCCUGGCUGGCCGGUCCGCCUCACCGCGUGCACUGGUCCGGCCGGGCCUUUCCCUCUGCGGAACCCCAUGCCCUUCACUGGGUGUGGCGGGGAAACAGGACUUUUACUUUGAAAAAAAUUAGAGUGCUCAAGGCAGGCCUAUGCUCGAAAUACAUUAGCAUGGAAUAAUAGAAUAGGACGUGUGGUUCUAUUUUGUUGGUUUCUAGACCGCCGUAA